rnacentral:rRNA from 1 species
AUUGAACGCUGGCGGCAUGCUUUACACAUGCAAGUCGGACGGCAGCACAGAGAAGCUUGCUUCUUGGGUGGCGAGUGGCGAACGGGUGAGUAAUAUAUCGGAACGUACCGAGUAAUGGGGGAUAACUAAUCGAAAGAUUAGCUAAUACCGCAUAUUCUCUGAGGAGGAAAGCAGGGGACCUUCGGGCCUUGCGUUAUUCGAGCGGCCGAUAUCUGAUUAGCUAGUUGGUGGGGUAAAGGCCUACCAAGGCGACGAUCAGUAGCGGGUCUGAGAGGAUGAUCCGCCACACUGGGACUGAGACACGGCCCAGACUCCUACGGGAGGCAGCAGUGGGGAAUUUUGGACAAUGGGCGCAAGCCUGAUCCAGCCAUGCCGCGUGUCUGAAGAAGGCCUUCGGGUUGUAAAGGACUUUUGUCAGGGCAGAAAAGGCUGUUGCUAAUACCGACAGCUGAUGACGGUACCUGAAGAAUAAGCACCGGCUAACUACGUG